AAUGUAUGAAGAACACCUGAAGA
rnacentral:piRNA from 1 species